rnacentral:rRNA from 1 species
AGUGAACGCUGGCGGUAGGCCUAACACAUGCAAGUCGAACGGCAGCACAGUAAGAGCUUGCUCUUACGGGUGGCGAGUGGCGGACGGGUGAGGAAUACAUCGGAAUCUACUUUUUCGUGGGGGAUCACGUAGGGAAACUUACGCUAAUACCGCAUCCGACCUACGGGUGAAAGCAGGGGAUCUUCGCACCUUGCGCGAUUGAAUGAGCCGAUGUCGGAUUAGCUAGUUGGCGGGGUAAAGGCCCACCAAGGCGACGAUCCGUAGCUGGUCUGAGAGGAUGAUCAGCCACACUGGAACUGAGACACGGUCCAGACUCCUACGGGAGGCAGCAGUGGGGAAUAUUGGACAAUGGGCGCAAGCCUGAUCCAGCCAUACCGCGUGGGUGAAGAAGGCCUUCGGGUUGUAAAGCCCUUUUGUUGGGAAAGAAAAGCAUCAGGUUAAUACCCCGCUGUUCUGACGGUACCCAAAGAAUAAGCACCGGCUAACUUCGUG